UGGGGAAUUUUGGACAAUGGGCGAAAGCCUGAUCCAGCAAUGCCGCGUGUGUGAAGAAGGCCUUCGGGUUGUAAAGCACUUUUGUCCGGAAAGAAAUCCUUGGCUCUAAUACAGUCGGGGGAUGACGGUACCGGAAGAAUAAGCACCGGCUAACUACGUGCCAGCAGCCGCGGUAAUACGUAGGGUGCAAGCGUUAAUCGGAAUUACUGGGCGUAAAGCGUGCGCAGGCGGUUUGCUAAGACCGAUGUGAAAUCCCCGGGCUCAACCUGGGAACUGCAUUGGUGACUGGCAGGCUAGAGUAUGGCAGAGGGGGGUAGAAUUCCACGUGUAGCAGUGAAAUGCGUAGAGAUGUGGAGGAAUACCGAUGGCGAAGGCAGCCCCCUGGGCCAAUACUGACGCUCAUGCACGAAAGCGUGGGGAGCAAACAGGAUUAGAUACCCUGGUAGUCCACGCCCUAAAACGAUGUCAACUAGUUGUUGGGGAUUCAUUUCCUAGUAACGUAGCUAACGCGUGAAGUUGACCGCCUGGGGGAGUACGGUCGCAAGAUUAAAACUC
rnacentral:rRNA from 1 species